rnacentral:tRNA from 1 species
GAGGGUAUAGCUCAGUGGCAGAGUGCCAGCCUAGCAUGUAUGAGGUCCUGGGUUCAAUCUCCAGUACCUCCA